UACAGAGGGUGCGAGCGUUAAUCGGAAUUAUUGGGCGUAAAGAGCUCGUAGGCGGUUUGUCGCGUCUGCCGUGAAAGUCCGGGGCUCAACUCCGGAUCUGCGGUGGGUACGGGCAGACUAGAGUGAUGUAGGGGAGACUGGAAUUCCUGGUGUAGCGGUGAAAUGCGCAGAUAUCAGGAGGAACACCGGUGGCGAAGGCGGGUCUCUGGGCCGAAAUUGACGCUGAGGAGCGAAAGCGUGGGGAGCAAACAGG
rnacentral:rRNA from 1 species